rnacentral:ncRNA from 15 species
CGCUCAUCCAGAGGGGCAGAGGGACACGGCCCGUUGAAGCCCCGGCAACCCUCCAGUCGGUUCUCGCGAUCGCCCGCACGGCGACACCAGCGAGGUCCCCGGCUAGGGAAGGUGCCAAUUCCGUCUCAUGGCGAAGUGCGCCAUGGGGAAGAUGAGGA